UCAGGCCUAACACAUGCAAGUCGAACGGGAUUGGUAGCAAUACCAUGAGAGUGGCGCACGGGUGAGUAACGCGUAUGCAACCUGCCUUUAACUGAGGGAUAGCCCAUAGAAAUGUGGAUUAAUACCUCAUAGUUCUGAGAAGCUGCAUGGUUUUUCAGAUAAAGCUCCGGCGGUUAAAGAUGGGCAUGCGUGACAUUAGCUAGUUGGUAAGGUAACGGCUUACCAAGGCUACGAUGUCUAGGGGUUCUGAGAGGAUGAUCCCCCACACUGGUACUGAGACACGGCCCAGACUCCUACGGGAGGCAGCAGUGGGGAAUAUUGCACAAUGGGGGAAACCCUGAUGCAGACGUGCCGCGUGUGUGAAGAAGGCCUUCGGG
rnacentral:rRNA from 1 species